rfam:Triticum urartu cultivar G1812 contig1233546, whole genome shotgun sequence.
GUAAUACUCCUUCCGUCUGGAAAUACUUGUCCUAGAAAUGUUUGAAAAUAAAUGUAUCUAUAACUAAAAUAAGUCUAGACACAACCAUUUCUAAGACAAGUAUUUUUGAACUGAAGGAGUAUGUA